rnacentral:rRNA from 1 species
AAUGAACGCUGGCGGCGCGCCUAAUACAUGCAAGUCGGGCGAGAAGACGUAGCAAUACGUUUGUAAAGCGGCGAACGGGUGAGGAAUACAUGGGUAACCUACCCUCGAGUGGGGAAUAACUAGCCGAAAGGUUAGCUAAUACCGCGUACGCUUCUUGGACUUCGGUUCAGGGAGGAAAGCGAUACCGUGGGUAUCGCGCUCUUGGAUGGGCUCAUGUCCUAUCAGCUUGUUGGUGAGGUAACGGCUCACCAAGGCUUCGACGGGUAGCUGGUCUGAGAGGACGAUCAGCCACACUGGCACUGCGACACGGGCCAGACUCCUACGGGAGGCAGCAGUAAGGAAUAUUGCGCAAUGGGCGAAAGCCUGACGCAGCGACGCCGCGUGGGGGAUGAAGGUCUUCGGAUUGUAAACCCCUUUCGGGAGGGAAGAUGGAAUGGGGUAACCCAUUCGGACGGUACCUCCAGAAGCAGCCACGGCUAACUUCGUGCCAGCAGCCGCGGUAAG